UACGAAGGGGGCUAGCGUUGCUCGGAAUCACUGGGCGUAAAGGGUGCGUAGGCGGGUCUUUAAGUCAGGGGUGAAAUCCUGGAGCUCAACUCCAGAACUGCCUUUGAUACUGAAGAUCUUGAGUUCGGGAGAGGUGAGUGGAACUGCGAGUGUAGAGGUGAAAUUCGUAGAUAUUCGCAAGAACACCAGUGGCGAAGGCGGCUCACUGGCCCGAUACUGACGCUGAAGUGCGAAAGCGUGGGGAGCAAAUAGG
rnacentral:rRNA from 1 species